CCAGGCUCACGCUCUGGGUCCUGAGCCAACACUCCACUGACAGGCGAUCCUUGCACUGCUUAUGGCAGUUCACACCACAGGCUCGGCAUUUGAGGCCUUGCUUAUAGAUACCCAGGAUCGGGGCUUUGCAGUGGCGGCAGGUGACCGGGCGCAAGGAGUUGCUCUCCUGGAAGUUGUGUACGACGCCCACGCGGUCCCCCAGCACAGAGCUGGAGCGCAGAAAAUAGGAGACCAUCUUCUCCCUGCUGAUGUAGCAGUCCUGGUUCUGGUCGAGGUCCCCAAAGGCGCUGAGGUAAGGGAAGUUCCCACGGAUGAUCUGGAACUCUUCCUGUGAGAUGUGGCCAUCCCCAUCGACGUCAAAGUUCCAGAACACAGACUCCACCAUCUUCUCAAUGUGCUCCACCACUAGGGCCUGAUCCAGCUUGGGUUUGGCAGCCGAGGUCCACUCCUCCAGCACCUAGGGCCGGGGUGGUGGGGUACAGCUCGUGGGGCUGGUUGGCAAGGACUUGGAGCGCGGCUCCCGCUGCUGGGAUAGCUGGUGCAGCUCAUCCUCCAUCUGUUACUGAUCCAGAGAUGCCGUGAGCAGGCCGAGCAGAUCACGGUUGGCCUGUACUGGUGACCAAAGCCUGGUCACUAUGGCCAGCUUCUCCAGGAUGCUGAAGACCUGCUUCAUCUUGCCCUCAUGGAGCCGGGUCCGGGCUGGGUCCAGCCAGUCAGGCAAUGCCAGCUGCAGGGCCACCAGGUCCUUGAGGUGCACACCCAGGAUGGGGAAGCGGAAGCCCACAAAGGCUGCCAGCCGGCGCUGGUAGUUGCCAUAGCUGCCUGUCGCCGUCGCUAGUUCCACGAGACCAUCCCAGAGCUUGAUGGUCUCAGGGCUAAAGUGGCUGUGGGUCUCCUUGAGGCGGGAGAUGGAGCUGUGGCUCAGGCCCCCGACCACUAUCAUCAGUAUGUUGAAGUUCUGCAGCUGCAGCAGCUUCUCCGCCACGUGGACAAAGUGUGUGAUGACCAGGCCCCGCUGCGGGGCUGUGGGUUUGCUGAGGAUCAUGACCCACUGCGAGAUGCUUUUGAAGAGGGAGAUGAACCGCUCCAGGACGGGGUUGUCCACAGUGUAGCCAUGAGUCACAAAAUUGUGAUAGUCCUGGAACCGGAUCUUGCAGAAGGAGUGAUACUCCAAGUAGGGACGCUGUCUAUGUCGAUGACGCUGCCGCGCCGCCAGUUUCCUGCUUGGUCUAGCAGAGCCUUCAGCUCCUUGAUCUGCUCAGUGAGCUCCGUGUUCAAGUCAAACUCCGGUGGGAAGGCAGAGAUCCAGUACGUGACCAGGUAUCUUGUUUUCCUACUUGUUUCUCUUUUAUUUUCUUUCCUAGUUAUUGGCGGUUUCAUCAAUUGAGUGGUUUGAGCUAGGAACCUGAAAGUCAUCAAGACCUCACUCCUUUGCUCAACUUAACACUAUAAUCUCUUCACCUAGACUGUGAUCUCUUGAGAGCAGGAUGGUGCUUGUUUGAUGUCCUAUCUCUCCUACCUAGCAUAGUACUCAGAAUACAGGAGGUAGUCAGUAAGUUCUUGAAUUAGUGAAUGAAACUAAUCUUUCUCUCCUCCCUAUAUUUAAACCAUUAUCAAGUUCCUUUGAUUUUGUUCCCUAAAUAGUUAUUUAAUCUGAGCUUUCUUCUUACCUUUCUGUUCUGUUCAUUCCUUCUGAUUUUACCUCGUAACUGGUUAUUUAAUCUGAUCUCUCUCUCACCUCUGUUCUCAUGAUCUCUUAUCUAGACUGUCAAAAUAAUCUGUUUGUACAAUCUUGCCCCCCCACCCUCUAUUACAAUUUCUCAACAUGAUUCAUUUUGAAUUAAAAUAUGAUCUUGCCACUACUGCUAGAAUCUCUUCAAUGGCUUUACAUCAUUCACAGGAUUUUUUAAAGCCCCUUAGAAUUAGACAAGGCCCUUUGUGGUUCCUUCAACCUUUCCAGUCUCAGGUUGUGUCACUCUCUCACUCCUCUUUUCAAAUAGUACCAAACUAAUUUGGUACUGUUUUAUCCACCAUGAGGUAUAUAGCUGAUUGGUUCUUAGCCUGGGUUGGCGAAAAGGUCAGAGAAGGAUUCCUAGAGUGGAAGACACAUUAGAGAGACCUGAAAAAUCAGUGAGAGUUAG
rnacentral:lncRNA from 1 species